AGAAAGAGAAUACAAAAAACGUUUAGAUUUCAUUCCAAAAAGAUGAUCCUUAGAAGGACGAGGUACACUUAUAUAAUUACAAGUACCUACAGUUGUAUCAAGACAAUAAAUCUAACAAAUUAACAGAAUUUUGCUGACUCACGCCAUCUACCAAUUUGGACUAUUCAACCUAGCCCACUGCCUCCUCCAAGCCCAACUCACACCCCUUAUCUGUUGGAGAGAUAAUUGGGUCUAUGUCUGAUGUAGCCCAAUUGAUUUUGCUCCCACGUGCUUUGUCCUUGAGCCUUUAAUCCAUCUGUGCCACUUCUCUCUUCAUUAGGUAAAAUUCCAAUCCCUAACUCUCCCAAUUCAAUCCUAUUUGCCCCCAAUUCCUCUCGGUCGAACCCUAACUCUCCUGCCAUCAUAACAAUACCCCUUUCUCCAGAAGAUUUUUGUCCCCAGGGAUCAAAAUCAGGAAACUGUUGUCUCAACACAGUAUAAUCUUCCCAAGUUACGUCUGUUGGUCCCAUAUUUGUCCACUGAAUGAGCAAUUGAAUGACUGCCCGAUUCUGUCUUGUAACCACUCGUUGAUUCAAAACAAGGGCUGAGUAGAUCUUCAGUUUCCCAUUCGAUGCUACUUCUGGAGGAUCGAUCGAGGCCCAAAAUAUUGAGUAACAAGCUUCAAAUUUUUCCUAAGGGCAAGUGAUGUUUGUCUGUAUGGCUGAAGCUUCAGCAUGUCACCACUUGAAGAGUUUCUGACGAAAAUAUUAGAAGGUGCACACUCCAGUGCCAAAUGCAAGAGGAAGCACUGCAUGUAAACUAUGGGGUAAAGUUGUGAAAGGAGGAAUAACACGAUUUAAAGAAAACAUUGCUCAUAAAGCCAUAAAGGUUGCACUAUGCCCUAAUGUUACUGGUGUCAUUAGGGAAAGUAUGAUGAAUUUAUUAAAAGAAGGAAACAAAAAAAUAGACAAAAAGAGGAGAACAUAAGAAUUCUUGUCCUAGUUAAGAGAAGAGGGGGAUGAAAAUGAAGGAUUCAUUGAUGAGAUUGAUGCAAUUAGGCGCAACUCGAGAAAGUAUCAAAUCACAACAUGAGUGGCACAGAAGAGAAGAAUUAAGACGAAGUACUGGUGGUUGGAGUAAUAUUUAUGAAGAAGGGCGACCUUCCCAUGGAUCAGUUGGAGGAUAUCGUCGAGAAAGAACAAGUAAAUCCAUCUCGAGUGAGUCUGAGUUUACCUUACGAGAAGCUACACCUUAAUUGGUUAGAAGUACAAGCUCAAAACAA